AUUGAACGCUGGCGGCAUGCCUUACACAUGCAAGUCGAACGGCAGCACGGGAGCAAUCCUGGGUGGCGAGUGGCGAACGGGUGAGUAAUACAUCGGAACGUGCCCAGUAGUGGGGGAUAACCCGGCGAAAGCCGGACUAAUACCGCAUACGACCUACGGGUGAAAGCAGGGGAUCGCAAGACCUUGCGCUAUCGGAGCGGCCGAUGUCAGAUUAGCUUGUUGGCGGGAAAANCCCACCAAGGCGACGAUCUGUAGCUGGUCUGAGAGGACGACCAGCCACACUGGGACU
rnacentral:rRNA from 1 species